rnacentral:rRNA from 1 species
CUGCUGCCUUCCGUAGGAGUUUGGGCCGUGUCUCAGUCCCAAUGUGGCCGGCACCCUCUCAGGUCGGCUACUGAUC